UACGUAGGAUGCAAGCGUUGUCCGGAUUUAUUGGGUUUAAAGGGUGCGUAGGUGGCUGAUUAAGUCAUGGGUGAAAGCCCGCAGCUCAACUGUGGAAUUGCCUGUGAUACUGAUUAGCUUGAGUGCGGUUGAGGCAGCUGGAAGUGGUGGUGUAGCGGUGAAAUGCAUAGAUACCACCAGGAACACCGAUUGCGAAGGCAGGUUGCUAAGCCGUAACUGACACUGAGGCACGAAAGCGUGGGGAGCAAACAGG
rnacentral:rRNA from 1 species